CCUACGGGUGGCAGCAGUAGGGAAUAUUGCUCAAUGGGGGAAACCCUGAUGCAGCAACGCCGCGUGGAGGAUGAAGGUUUUCGGAUUGUAAACUCCUUUUGUUAGAGAAGAUAAUGACGGUAUCUAACGAAUAAGCACCGGCUAACUCCGUGCCAGCAGCCGCGGUAAUACGGAGGGUGCAAGCGUUACUCGGAAUCACUGGGCGUAAAGGGCGCGGAGGCGGGGUAGCAAGUCAGAUGUGAAAUACUAUGGCUUAACCAUAGAACUGCAUUUGAAACUGUUAUUCUAGAGUAUGGGAGAGGUAGGUGGAAUUCUUGGUGUAGGGGUAAAAUCCGUAGAGAUCAAGAGGAACACUCAUGGCGAAGGCGACCUGCUAUAACAUAACUGACGCUGAGGCGCGAAAGCGUGGGGAGCAAACAGGAUUAGAUACCCCUGUAGUC
rnacentral:rRNA from 1 species